CUAGGGAAUUUAGUCUCUCUUAUCACUAAAUCCAACUGUGUGUGGGGGGGGAGUAGCCUCAUUUAUGUGAACAUAAAUGAGUUCUUAUAAAUGAGGAUAUCAUAUAUCCAUUCAUUUAACCAAAAUUUACAGAGUGCCUACCGUAUGCCAGUCAGGGGUGAAGUGGACAGAGAUCUCUGUCUUGUGGCACUCUUAUUCUAAAGGGGGCAUUCAGCAAAUCAGGAAACAAAUGAGACAUUUUUUCUUUUUUUUUGGCCAUCCCGGGGACUUGCGGGAUCUUAGUUCCCCGACCAGGGAUCGAACCUGAGUCCCCUGCAUUGGGAGCGCAGAGUCUUAACCGCUGGACCACCAGGAAAGUCCCCAUGUUUUUGUUUGUUUGUUUGUUUUGCCAAUAAGACUAUAUCUGAUGGAGGUAAGUGUGGAGAUGAAAACCAGGUGUGUGAUGUGACAGAGAACGGCCAUUCAGGGGGAGGCACCAAACAUUCUCUACUGUGGCUGAUAUUCCCAGGCAGGAGUGAAAGAAGAUAUCCAUCAGACAACUAUGAACUUCUGUCUCAUUACCUGGCCGCGCAGCCUGUGGCCGCUUGUGCUCACGGCGACCACGAAGGGAUCCGGAGUGGACUUCUCUCCUUCACCUGAACUCUACGAGGAACUGGAGCCUUGGUACCAGCAGAGGCCCCUGGCACUCGUCUGCCUCCUUGGAGAGUCCAGAUGAAUUUGGGGGACGUGGAUUCAAGCCCUGGUCCGGGAAGAUCCCACAUGCCGCGGAGCAACUAAGCCCGUGCACCACAACUACUGAGCCUGCGCUCUAGAGCCCGCGAGCCACAACUACUGAGCCCACGUGCCACAACUAUUGAAGUCCGUGCGCCUAGAGCCCGUGCUCUGCAACAAGAGAAGCCACCGAAAUGAGAAGCCCA